UUUCUAGCUGUUAUCUUGGCUUUGAAGUCUUGUAGGAGCACUAUUUUUUUUUAUUGUUUUUACUUGGUUACUUCUUCAUUCUUCUCCUUGCUUCCUUUGAACCUGAGGCCUCUGCUGUAUACCCCAGAGAGUUAACUCUGUUUCCUUCAUUCUUUCAAUGUUAGGAAGGGCCCCUGUCCACAUUGUCUCCAUAGUCCCAUAGUUCAUCCUGAAAAUGUCAGGGGCUCAGAGUUGUAAGACACAGUGGCUACAGAAACUGCAUUAAUGACUUGGAUUAAAGAGCGGUGAUACAGGAGAGACGGCUCAGUGGUUUAAAACACUGACUGCUCUUCCAGAGACCUGGGUUCAAUACCCAGCGCCCACAUGGCAGCUCACAACUGCUCUAACUCCUGUUUCAGAGGACCUGACACUCUCACAUAGACAUGCAGGCAAAACACCAAUCAGUGCUCAUAAAAUAAAAAUAAAUAAAAAAGUGUUGAGGAGGAAGAGGAGGAGGAUGAAGAGGAGGAAGAGGAGGAAGAGGAAAAUAGACAGCCAGACUUCUAAGAAAUUGGGUUUUGAUGGAAAAGUGUGCAAUGAUUCAGUUGUAAUGAUUCAGCCUGACAGGAGGUCCCAGGCCAGGACAGUGUUUAUGUUUCCUGGUCUGAUCAAGGAUGGGGCUUGGCUACGGUAGCCCAGGUCUGACUGUUCAAGUCAGAUUUAAACGGUAGACUUCUGGGCAUUGAAUCCAAAUAUUCUUUGGAUGUGCACAAGGGUAUGCUUUCUUUCUUUUUUCUUUUAAGAAAUAGUUAUGUGACCUCCAGCUGCUUUAGACACAUAUCCUUAUGCAGGCCCUCAAAGGGCCUGUGUGUUGAGAAGGCACAGUGUCCCAUAGGGUAAUGAUCGAUAGACCCCAGCUCCACUGAGAAAAUAGGAAGUAGUGUUUAAAUGACAAAGUGAAAAGAGAGGGCACGAUGGCGCCUAAGGGAUUGAGGUCUUUAUUAUAGAGAUAAGGGAAAAACAGUCAGAGACAUCAGUAAGAGUUCAGAGUGAAAGUGGCCAGACUGAGCAGGGCCAUGUGGAGAGAGAGAGAGAGAGAGAGGGAGGGAGGGAGGGAGGGAGGGAGGGAGAGAGGGAGAGAGAGAGAGAGAGAGAGAGAGAGAGAGAGAGAGAGAGAGAGAGAGAGGAGCUGCCGACUAAGACGAGCAGGCAGCUUGGAGCAACAGACUGGCAUAGUCAAAAUGGCUGAGCUAUGUCUGAGCAAGGGAUGCUGGGACAACCUGGCAGCCAGUGUCAGCUUUGACAAAUUAAUAAGCACCUUAGUUAGCUGCUUGUCUAGGGUUUGAGACCUAUUGGUGUCCUAACCCUGGAGUCAACCCCGAAGGGACCACAAGAGUGAUGUGGUACCAUGCCCCACAGUGGCACUGAGUGGCAGUUACUUGGGGGCAGUUGAUGGGCAGCAGUUAGAACCUGAGGCAGUUGGGAAAGGUCGUUCCACGGAACAGCUGGGGAUGAUCCCAGCAAGUAGGGCCUUUAUACUCUGGCAGACGUGUGGGUCACAGGCUGGGGCUGAGGGAGGCUCACAGAGCCUGCCAUGCGUUAAGAAGCACACGUCGCUUUAUGCUCUUAAGUAUGUGUCGAUGAGUUUGGGAUCAAGUCCUGUGAACAGCUGGAAGAAUGAGCCCCAAGAGCAGCGGGGUGUGGCAGAGAGGGGCUGGCGAAGGGUCUGGCCUCAGAGGACAAGCUGUGCUCUUCUACCUCCAAUGACAGGGCUGCUUGGGUGUAUCUGAAGCCUAAAUCAGAGCUUGGUGGCCUGGCUGUCGUCAGAUGCAGCCAGGGGAGGCCAACAUGGUGUUACCAACAAGCCAAGAAGCAAAUGGGUAGACAGAGUAAUUUCUAGAGCAGUAUCUUAAUGGGGGAGCAGGGUCUGGCCACGUGGGUUGGACAUGACAAUAAUUGUGGCUUCUGUUUCGCAGAGGCUUACUGAAAUGUGAAGAGAAGGACGGAAGUUUCUCAACACCUGGUGUAUCCAGUGGGCAGCAGCCACACUGCUUUCCUUGGUUGUUUGCCUGACUCCAAGCUACUCACCAUAAAGCAUUUAGAGUUGGUCCCUUUGAUGUCCUCUUCUGACCUCCAGACCAGUUCCAGCCUUGCUUACUGAAGGGGGCUUUUCCUCACCUCACUCAAAGGCUUCCCUAGGACUCAGCAGAAGAGUCGCAUCCUAGGUUUCCCAAGAUCCCAGGGCCUCCCUACUGCACUGUCCCUGCUUCCUGUCACUUUGUUCAUAGUCUUUAAUCACAAGGACUUUUCUAGCUGGGUGCGGUUCCCCACAGCAGAUUCCCCUGUCGGAGCCUUCGUCCUGCCACAGCUUGGCGUGUACACAUACUUGUGUAUACGGCGCAGACAAAUGGAACACAGCAGAGUCUCUCCCGUUUCCGGCUUAAUGUCUUCUGCUGGGAGGAAAAUGGUGCCAGAGCAGUUCUGAGGUUUCUAGCCUGAAGCUGCAGUCUCAAAACAGAUUUUGUGGGACUCCAAGAAACUUUUACAACACUGGCCAGGUGGUUUCUCAAAAUAACCAGCUCUUUGUGCAGUGUCCUUUGAUUUCUUUUCCCACACUGGACACACCGCUCUCAACUUCUCCCUUAAUGUUCCCCUCUGUUUUCUCUUCCUCUAAGUUAUUUGCAGGAUUUAUUUUGUGAUUAAUCUUUUGCCACCUGAUUGAUAAUCGAGGUGGUGUUUUGAAGUUUUUUUUUUUUCUCUAAUGUGUGCAUUUUUUUUCCUCUUACUAUUUAUGUUCUUUAAGGGAUUAAAAAAAAAACACACACACACAUUGUGGACUUUGUACUUCUCCACAGCACCUCACAAACAGAAAUAAAACAAACCCAAUAAAAUUCUACUAAAGCGGCCGAUGGAAAGGAUUCAUGUAUAUUGGUUCUUAUAAUGGAUCGCAUGUAGCUGUGCUUUUUUUUUUUUUUUUAAACCAUUUUAAUGACUCAUGUCCUUAAAUCCUUGAGUUCACACCUGGACCGUUAAGAGAUUUGAUCUUUUAAGACAGAGUACGAUAAACAUAAGUUAAUCCUAAUUAAUCCACGGCACCGUUAGAUGCUCCAGUAAAUAGCAAAACAAGGGAGCAGGGAAUAAGGAGUUAACAUUUUUGGCUGACUUGUGCAUCCUUGAAUCCGACCAAUGGAUGGAUUCGCCAUUGCACCGCAGGUUUUCAAUGGGGGAAGUACUAUUUGGAUUAUAGAAAUUUAUAUCACGGUCAAGCAUUUCAUUUCAGGCAUGUCAGGUCUCAGACCUGGGACAAAGGGCUAACUGAGGUGCUACUAACAUUACCAAAGCAGAGAAAGCCUGGGAGGUUUGCUCAGUAUCCCUCAACCCCUACCUGUUGUGGGGUCCUCCUGGCUGUCAUACCCUGACUCCGACCCUAACUUUCUCCAGCCUAGGGACUGGGCUGCCCUUUCCCCUGCUAAGCUGUCCUUCCCUAUAUAGCCUAGCCAUUUUUGCUACGCUGGUCCUUUUGCCCUUUUGGUCUCCUGGCUCACAGAUCCCCUCUCUUUGCUCUCCCCUCUGUCCUCAACAUGGCCCUGCUCAGUCUGUUGGUCAUGUCCACUCUGGACUCGUCCACAUGUCUGUCUCUCCCUCUCUACGUGCUCUCCCUCAUAUCUACAAUAAACCACCUCCUCCGCCAUACCUAGGAGCAGUCAUGUCCUUCUUUAAUUGAAUUCACUGGAUACGGUCCUGAGGCAGGCAUAGUAGCACCCACUGAAACCAAUUUGCAACAAGAGUAAUGCAAAGUAGGAGGAGGGGCUUGUUUCUGAUUUCUAUUAACAACAGGAGUGACUUUCAACCAAGCACUCCUCCAGGGCCUCCUAGACUCGGUCUAUAGACAAUGAAUUCUGUCAGGUUUCUUCCAGUUUUAAUACUGGGAGAUUUACUUCCUGAUCAUGGUGGUGCACCUGAAGGUCACUGUGAUGAAGUGGGAAAUGACCUGUGAGAAACUUGGGUUGGGGGUGGGGGUGGGGCAGUAAAAUAUAUAAAAGAAACUUAAGCUUAACCUCAGAAAUUUACAAGUAUCACACAGAGCUUUAAAAAAAAAUGUGUUAACCUUUGCUAUAUCAAGUAGAGGGUCUUUAGAGCCGAGGACCAGUGCUUAGCCUUGAGAUCCAUCAUUGUGUACAGAAAGAUUUGGUCUCCAAGGAUUUGGGGGAGACAAUGUAUGAAAAGAACGGGCUAAAAGCAUCUUCAAAAACAGGUGGUAGGAUUAUCAGGAAGAUAAGGUACCUUAAAUUCACUUUUAAUAUGGUGACAAUUUCACCAUUAACUUUAUAGCAUUGGGCUAAAUACUUGCCAAAGACACUUAGAAAGGACAUUUCUGGAUCUCAUUUUCUGUAGAAUAGAGUUGAAGUCGAUGAUCCUUGACUCCCUCCCAGCCUUGGCAACAUGCGAUUUAAUUUGGAAUCCCUGAAUCAUUGAGGACUUCCCGACUCGAUCCUCUCGCCUCUUUGGUUUACUGACUUUUUCUCUGGGGUUAGAAGGGCCUAAGGCUAAGAAUGGCUGCAACGGACACCAGCUCCCAAGAAAUGCUGCUCAAAUGAAUUCUGUCAUUUCUCCAGCCAGGGACUUCCUCUGCCAAUGCUGAUGGGUCCAAAGAGAAAACCUCACACAGUUAGAGCACUAACAACCAGUUACUAGUGGAAUAAACCAGCAGUUUCUUGGAACGUUUCUCAAGAUCUUUGCUCCUUAAGUCUCCUACUCACAAUGGCAGAUUUCCUCAUUAGCGACUGUCCUUUCAAGUGAAGAAAAAUGUCUCUCUUCUACCUGGGUUGUUUCCUUCCUCUCAUGAGCUGGACGAUUGUUCAAGAGGGUGACAUUUUGUUUGGGUGGUCCAGUAGUCUGAAGCUUUGAGACGUGCUUUUGUUGGUUAUUGUCUUCUCAUAUUGACCAAUGAAGGAGUUCUUAUAGAUUACCAAAACUGAUAAUGAUCAGUGUGAUUACCAAUGACUGUAAUGUCUCUCAGGACUCUCAGACACACUGUGCCUAUCUGUACAUGUCUGCGAGGGUUUUAAGAGUAAACGUAAUACACGUGUCUUCUGAUCACUGCUCAUCUCUGUCAAGGUGUGUGGUACCACAUCAAACUUAUUUAAGCAAAACUGAAAAUUUGACAACAUAAUUCAGAAGCCUUGAAAUAUGACAGCUUCAGUGUUGAUUAUACCCAGGAGCUUAAUUAAAUAUGAUCAAGAUUCUCACUAAAUCUUGAACUUCCCUGUCUCUUUGUGUUGACACUGUUUCUGAGUAAGACCCCCCAUUCAUGGUGGCAAAUGUGGCUUAUGUCAUAGUUCUCUGAGACUCAGAAAAAAAAAACCUUUAUUUCUUUAUUCCAGUUAAUGUUUUGUUAACAGGUCUGCCUGGGCAAACAUGGAUCACAGCUUUCUUUUGCUGAAGUUAUGUAGAACUGUGGAGAGAAAACCCCCAAAAAGCCUGGCCAGGAUGGUACCCCAGGCAUUAGCACUGUGUAUGAAUGGGGAGGGAGGUACCACAUAGGUGUUGGUUGACUGUGGUUCCUCACAUAGUUAAGGGCACCUUUCGAGGAGAAUCCGAGAGGCCCUUAGACCACAUUGUUGUAUGUCAAUGCUUCCUGUACAGUUGCUUGAUGCCCAGUGUCUUCUGCUAAGCUUCCACAAGGAAGCUUGAUUUAUUCACUUCCUAAAGUGUUUUUUGCUGUGAUAUGGUGACUCACUGGGCAAGGAAUUGUUUACCACUGGAGUUGUCGCUUUUCUUAGACGUAUUUAAGCAUGACCUCUGCCACCCAAAGAUUUCCAAGCAAAGUGGGGACAGUCUAGACUCCCACAUCAGGGACCCUGGAUUCAAAUUUAAGCUCAUUUUCUGAACUUAAAAUUCCCAUAUCACCCCAGCUUCCUGAUUGGUGCAAAAACCAUCACUUUAUUGUUCUAACUGUAGAAGGCUUUGGGGGAGGGUAGCCGUCUGAAGGAGACUGUGAAUGGAGGGCACCUCUGUAAAAAUCCAAGUUGUAUCUAGAAGAAAGGUCAUGUGCCGUAUGCUUUUAUACCCCACAGAAAUUUGACUGAGCAAGUUUUAAAUGUUUCCCCUUUAUUAAAGUUUCCAUUUAUGCUCAGUCAAGACAGAACUGCCUGCUUUUGCUUCCACUGUGUGUUAUAGCCUCAUGGGUCUACGCAAGGCCCUGAGUGGCCCCUCGAGAGACAGAGAGCCAACUUUAUUUCACGGGCACUAGUGAGCCCCGCUGUCUUCCCUUCCUCCGGGAUCUUGUGUUAGAAGACAGUAUGGUUCUGGGUACCCGCACCAGAGUGAUGUGAAAUGCACACGCCUCGCACGGCGGAGUGUUUAUGGGCUGUGAUCGUCAUGUGCCCUCAGACACUCUUAGGGAAUGCUGCCAUUUGAAGACAUACGUGAUUGUCUUCUGUUUAAAGGAUUUUUUUUUUAAAGAUGAUUUCUAUGAGCAAAGCAAGUCCUGGGCUAGAGUUCCCUAUAUACUUGUAAGGUUUGACCCAGGGUGGGGAUGCCAUGCUCUAGGAUGCAGCCUCAGGCCUGAGCCGGUUAGAAGAGGAGCUAUGGGACCCAGAAUAAACUGAGAAGGACAACUGCCAUUCUCUCUUAUUUGCCUUGUGGGGCUCCUAAAGCUUGAACUAUAAUUCAGAAACAAAGUAUCCCUACUGUGGCCUACCUUCUGUCAAAAGCCAAGGGGAGAAAAAAAGAUCUCUCUAUCUCCUUAAGGGGAAACAUUAAGGAAAACACCACGUGUGAUAAUCAAGUAGACAGCUUAUUUGAGAAAGUCCUGUUAAUGUUCCCAGAGACAAAGAACACACCCUCUUAUGACUGGAUUCCAGUGUAAACACAUCACAAGGUUCCUCCUGCCUUACCCUUGCUCCGAUUAGGGCUGUGAGUGUGUGUGCACCGGCCAAGCUAAAUUGUUGGGCAGUUGUGAUAACUGUGUCCCAGGCCAGAGAUCACAAAUGAACACACUGUAUGUCGAAGCCAGCCAGCCAGGAUGUGUUAUUUGAUUAACGCGGUGUUUUAGGAAAACUCACAUUGGCCAUAGAUGUCAAAAAAGCUGUGAGUUUCCCAGAGCUGGAGACUGCUUCUCUUGAACCCCCCCCCCAACCCCCAAAUAAAACAACCUAGAAGACCAGGCGUAUGGUCAGAGCUGGCUCUGAGAUGACAUUGUAGGUAAAAUGGUUAAAAUUGGGCUCUGCCCCUUGUGGGGAGCCUCACGCUGUAAUGUUACUGCAGAAGGAAGGCAACCCUUCCUUCCAAACUUGCCUUCUGCUCUCCCUUGCUUUAUCUAGGCAAAUCCUUUCUGAGGGAAGUUGUCUAGCUCUUCUCAGGCACAACGCUCACCCUGUGGAGGUGAGCAGGAAGACCUCUAGGCAGACUUGGUGCAUUUCCUUCCAACAACUGUUUGGACCCAAUUGUGAUAUGACCAAAGCCAUGCUGAAGUUCAAAGGGAGAUGAGUUUCUCCUCCUACCCCCACCCUCCAACUAUUUGUCACUUCUCUUUCUCCUAGGUCAAACCCACUAGUUUUACUUUCCGUCUUACUUUUCAAAAUCUCCCGAAGAUGUACGCAUUCUUGAGGAAUGGCGGCUAUAAAGUUCGCCGAAUGGCAUUUGUCGCAAGCUCUGGCCAACAAAAAGCUUUAUAGAGUGGCUUGAUUUUGAACCUCUAAGUCAUUUCUUUCUCUUCCCCCUCCAUCCCCUCUCUUUCUUUCUCCGGACCACACAGACAAUGGGAUAGACUUUGAGAAAGAGAAAAAAAAAAAGCUUGCUUUCUAGGUAUAACCAGAAACAAAAAGUAAUUUGAGAAAUAUGAAGCACCUCAUCUGCCAUGUGUGAACACAGCUGUAUAGCUAUUUGCUAUGGCAAGAUAGGAUGACCAGUCCUGACGUUUGAAAGGGAGCCAUAGUGUCAGAAUGGGAAGUGCGAGUUGUUCUGACUUUGGGGGUGGUAGAAAGGGGAGAACAUUGGAGCCAUUACCCUGGCUGUUGGGGGACGGGUGAGGUGGGGAGGAGUGUGGGCACCUUCUCCCAAAGAGGAAGCACUGAAAAGGACCUGGAUGGAUGCCCGGGUCUCCUGCUGUGGCAACCCGGGGUGGGCAUUCUAUUCCGGGUUAGCAGAGCAUAAUCUGGAAAGUCCACGUUUUUUGCCAACGGCUUCUGUGCAAGUUUGCUUUUUUGGGGAAACUGGAAGAGGAGGUUAAUUUUCGUGGCUCCCAGGGUGUGGAAGUGAUGGCUGCAGGGUGGGAGGCGUGUGUGUGUGUGUGUGUGUGUGUGCGUGCGCGUGUGCGUGUGUGUGUGUGUGUUUGUGGAGGGUGGGAGGCGAGGCGAGACCCAUAGUGUCAUUGGGUACGCACAGAAAUGCCGGGGUCACCCUCAUUUUCUCCUGGUUUUCAGGGAGGGAGGCUGGGUGGCAGGUUCCAAGAUGCUUCUGUGCGGUCCACUUCGUAGAACCAAGUUGGGCAGGGUUCUAUGGGGGCAAGUGCAGCUCUCUCUUAGUGACUCGUUUAAGCUCACUAUUGGUUUCCAAGGACUGGAAAAAAAGAAAAAAGCCAGAAGGUGGUUAGCAAAGAUACUAGAAAAGGACAGAUAAAGGGAGUGAGGAGGCUCUGGUUGAAGGUGCCAGUAUAUCUAGGAUAUUCUGAGAUCCUUUUGCUUUUCAGCUGUCUUGCUCCCCCCAACGUUAAAUGAACAAUUAAGGUGUCUAUGAAAUUUUUUCCUAAAAUUUGGUGAUGAACGCACCCUAGCUCUUAGUACAGUUAUGCAAAACAUGGUGAGAGCCCUGCAGACUUGUGUCCUGCAUAGCCUUCCUUUCCUGUGUCUGUAAACUGGAGGUAAUGGCAGCCUCUGUCUACUAUGCGGGACAGGAGGGGGUCUGGAGACAGGGAAGCUCAGAGCACUCAGCCCUGAAGCCCCUUCAACCCCCACCCCUACCCCGCCCCAUACCCAGUAUGUGUGGCUGUUUUACUUUGAAUGGCCCUGUAAGGGACCCUCACAUGUUCUAUGGGGUGCACCGAUGACUCUUUGUCUCCUUAGCUAGGGUCUCCUUGAUUUAAACCUGAAUCAUAGCUUCCUUCCCGGUGGAAACCCACUUCAUCCACAGGAGACAGUGAGAACUGGAGUAUUGCUUGGGGGCCCAGGGCCUUGUUGAACUUCCCGGGCCCCCUCCUGCUCUGGCUCUCUGAGUUAGUCCAGUCCUUCUUCUGCUCUGUAACUCUGAUUCCUUCCCCCCAGAGCAGCACAGGGCCCCUCCCCUAGGACGUAUUGUGCACAUCCUAUCUGUGUCCCGGAGGGAUUUCCUUCUCAGCUGAGAAGGCAGCCACGUCUUUCAGGUGCUGGUACCUCCAACAGGCACAUUAAGGUCCUCCAACCCAUACAGCUAUUAAACAUGAGCAAGUGACCUUGGGACACGAGGUUGUCUUUCUUUUAAGGACAGGGACAAGCAAAAAUGUGUGCUUGGCCCACUUCCAAAGAGACAGGCUUUCAGCAUCAGCAGGCAUUUCCCUUGUGGUAGCUCCCUGCUGAUGUCCUCUCAGAGCAGCUGUCUGGCGUGGGAGCGACAGACCCUUUGCCACUGUCCCUUACAGUCCUGCUUUCUGGUCCUCUUUGCCACAUCCGUGUCUCCCAUGGACGUGGUACUCACUCCUCACCAUGGAGAGAUGACUCCAAUUAUGUCCCUAGCUUGGGGACCAUAGUUCUACUUGAUGCCUCUCAUCGACAUACAAGCCCCUUCCCCUCUGAGGACAAAGUGAAAAAUCCCUUGUUUUGACCCAGAAGGCUCUGCAUAAUUCUGGUGCACAGCUCUGAACUCCUCCUACACUAUUUCUCUCCUGGGUUGUCUACUCUUUUGGCCCUAGGUCUGUGGAGGGGGCACCGCACUCCUCACUCCAGGAAAGCGUUCCUCCCUGUCUUUGCAGAGUUAUUUCUGCGGGAGACACAGCUCAACAAUGACACUUCCGAGAAGACAGGGUUCAGCUCCCCCCUUUUGUCUCCGUGGCUUUGAUGAUCUGCACCUGCACUCUCCUUCGUUCAUCUGCCUGCUUUGCUGCCCAUUUUCCCUCGCUGGGGCUGGUCUGUGAGACUUCCUGUUUCACUGACACCCACAGUGGUACCUGGCAUGUAGUUGCUCAAUGAUGCCUGGGAUAAAUGUCUUGCUUUUUGAUCUGGCUUGUGUACCUAACACCAAGUGAAACGGUGGCCUCAGUUUUACUUUUGUUCGGUCUUUAAAGUACCUGGGAUAUAAAAAAGUGCCGGGCGGAUGGCCCCUGGCUUAGUGUUUGAAUGUGAUUGGAAAAGAAGACUCACGGAAUAACGGUUUCCGAGCAGUGCCGGGAGUGGGUCUUCUUUUACGUGCCGUGUAAAACUUGAGGGUAUGUGGCGGGGCGAGCGAGCUGUGAUUUGGACUCCCUUCUACCGCUGCUGCUAAGUAGCUGUGGCCUCUUAGGACAGGCAGUUUAUGUGUUCUCCAGAGGAGCAAAUCACCACGCAACCCCUGCAUUUCUUGUUUCUCAUACCUGUGGCCACAAGAAGUCCACCGGGGCCGUUUGGGGGAUUUCUCCCACUUCUAGAUCCCAGACCCGGGUCCUGCGCAACUGUAUUAUUUCCGUAUUGGCCAUGGGAGCCCAGAGCGAUGCUGCUCAGAAGCUGAGCGUUAUACUUUCCACCAGGGGGAAGAGACACAGACGAGCAAAGGGACAGUCUUAGUGAGAAGCAGAGAGAAGCUGGGAAAGAGGAGAGCAUCUGGAGAGCUGGAGUUUUGUGCCGUGCUGGGCCCGGGGGGGGGGGUGUCUGUGCCGGGGCUCCUUAUGCACUGAGGCACCUUGCUCGUGAGUGAUGGGAUCUGGGAAGGCUCACUGCUGAUUGGAGAAAGAAGAGCUAUCCACGGGUCCGAGUCCGUAACGGCCUAGGCAUGGCCCACAAUUUCCGUUUAUUCUCAUGGAGGACAACUUGCUGCUUGAUGACAGUUCCUGUGCUGUGGUGGGGGACGGUUUCAGGGUCUUUAGGAAGUUGGACUUUCUGGGUGAAUGGAAGAAGUUUCUGUCUGCGAAUAGACACAGACUCGUGAGUAAAAUGAGCAGUUCAAGGGCACACCAAUUGCACCUGGAGGUAAAGGUGCUCAGCUGUCUCACGUUUAUUGGGGUUCACUGGCCUUUUUGUUGCUUCUGUGUAUUGCUCUCUCCUCUGUUUCCUAGCACAUAAAGCAUUAAGGCCGGCGAAUGUCAGAAGCCCUGGUUUUUAGCUGUCCAGGGCUAGCUAGAUUUGUAGUUACGAUUUUUCACACUUGGUGUGACAGGGGCCUACCUGAAUACUUGCUGAAAGUGGAGAGAUAAGUUUGCGUCCGCACUUAUUGCCAGUUCUGUCCUUCCACUUUGUCUGAGUGGGAUCCUGCCUCAUCUAGUGUCCCUCCCCCCCAAGCUUUGCUGGCAUCAGGUUGAGCGCUGAGCACACCGAACCCCUUACUGACUCUCUGCUUCUCUCAAUGGAAGUAUGUUCACUUUCCCUGAAGAUUCUGGAAACAGCCCUGCCACGAGGAAGACUUUACAAAGUUGUCUUUGAUAGAUCAGGCACCCCCCUCCCCGCACUCCACCACAAACCCCCUUCCCCAAUAGCACAGUGCUGCUUUGUACCCUGGACCAGCACUGCUCACUGCCGGACCAUGCUCACCCUUGGGGGUUGGGAAUGAGAGUGGCGUGGAAUCAAUGAAUCAAUAGCUCAGUCUCCCGGAACAGGUGAGAAUUCUGCAGCAAGCUCUUUUAUUGAUCCUGGGGGGGGGGCGGGAAGGGGGUGCACCCUUCCACCCGCGUCCCAUUGGCCCCAAGUAAGCAUGUCUUCCAAGUGGCAGUUCCCCAUUGGCUGGCAUUGUCUGCGUCACCAAUCUUUAGGCUCUCGGUUUUCAAUUAGGUCCUCAUAGGAGUUGCCUCCGAGGCUGUGUGACCCCAAGGUCUAUGCAGAGGCGGCCACCGCUUUGUCAGGGAGGCCUGCAACACAGCAAUCCAUUUUUAGUACCAAGAAUCUCAGGAUACCAUAUCCUAGCACCAAAGCAUGGUCCAAGGUCAAUGAGACGCCAUGUCUGGGGCCGCACCAAGGAUCCCGUGAAGUGACAAAGUUUUUAGCAGUAUUCUCCUGACUGGCUGCUGGGUGGAACAUAUAAGGAAGCCUAAGGGGGCUUUUGGGAGGCCUUGGAUAACAGAAGUCAUGGUUAUUUUGGUUGAGGGAGAAGUGGACGUGGAGCUGAUAUGUAUUCAGCCGUAGAGUUUGCAGAACUCAGCCCUUGUUUGGUUGGGUGGAGGCAGGAGGUAAGAAGUGGAAGGUGACCCCGUGUCUUUGUCACCAGUGGCUUCUUUAUUGACAUGCCAUUUGGCAAGAGGAGACCCUCAGGAAGGAGGAACUGCAUGGGGGCAGGAGAAGGGGGGGAAGGAGGAGAGUCUGUGUCAGGAGGGAGGAUUGUGACAGGAAGAGGCAGAUUCUGGUUGGUUCUUGGUCCUGCUGAGAUGGGCCUUAUUGAAACUGUUAUGUAGAGAUGGGGAGUGGGACAGGAACUCUGAGCAGAGCUGCACUCUGGAGGUAGGAAUCUCAGGAAUGGAUUCAUGCCACAGUAGUGGGUAAGGCCUUUGGAAGGGAGUUUCUGGUAUGAAAGUUAAAGCAAAGUUUGAGUUUAGAUCAGCUCGUUUGUGUAGAAGGCUGGUGAUAAGAGUAGGAACUCCUAAAGGAGAGCUUAAGUAAGCUGGCCAGAACGGGUCCGAAGGUGAGCAGAGAGCCAGCUGGGGCCCUGGUAAAUGGACCCUGGAACAAGCAAGCAUCACAAUAGUUCACAGCAGUCAAGGCUUCUUGAAAAAAAAAAAAAAGAGAGAGAGAGAGAGAAGCAGGCAUAUGACUGGCCAGGUUGCUGGGGACUUAGAGAAGUGUCCUUUUGGGGGUACCAACUCAGAUUGGAAGUGUUAAGAAGUGAGAGAAGCUGACUGGGGGUGUGCCAAUGGGCAAAUGGGUCAAAGGAGGCGCUGGAAUGGGAAGAGGGAGAGAGGUGGCUGGGCGGGCACUUGGGAGAGAACUCCUCAGGGAGAGAGGAGUGCUUUUAAGUAUCGAGGCAGAGCCUUGCACAGAGAAGCUGUCCAAGGGGCUGGCAUUGGGGACGGAAGCCUGAGAAUCUGUGUAGAGCUGGCAUGAGAAGCAUCGGCCAUAGAUCUUGCUCCGUUGAGGGCAGAGGAGAUGCUUCAACAGGAUAGAGCUUCCUGGCUGCCUUUUGGAUGGAGCGAUGCCAGGAUGUGACUGGAAUCCCUGCCUCGUGGCUUCUUGUUUUCUCCAAAACGAUUUAGAUGAGCUCAUAGUGCCCAUGGGACAGCAAAGGAGCUGGAGGUUAGAGAAGCCCACAUGCAGCUGUCAUGGUGGAGAGGGAGGGAAGGGGGUGCCUGUGACUCCAUGUGGGGGAGUAGGGGGAGUGCUCGUUUUCAUCUGAUGUAAGUAAGUUUCCAUCAGAUGGAAAUAAAGUAACUUUUAUCUCUUGUCUUAGUGGACUUGGUCGGGGUGAGUUGGGUGAGUGAUAGGGAGACAUAGGUUUCAUUGUCACAAGUCAGCCCUGCAGUGCCUGAGGCUGGAGGUGACAAUGGCCCCUGUCCUCUGAACUUGGCAUUGCCACCCUUAGCUGGGGAAGCAGUGAUCAGCUCUGCAGGAGCCCACCCUGAGGCUAAUGCCUGCCGCUGGGUACUAGAAUCUUUCUCAAAGACACCGCACUGCCUGGAGAAACCUCAAGAGUACAAGAGACUUUAGAAUCUGAAGUAACACUGUUUUACUCGCCUCACUUUUGAUUUUUGUGCCCGGCUCAGUGUCUUCUGGGAAGGCUAGGGUGACAGCAGGAGCCGUGUGUCAGUGGCAUGGGAUUUGGUGAGUUACUUCAUCAGGAAUCUAGGCUUGCACCCCGAAGUUAAAGAUUGCAUACUAGAGAGAGAGUCACUUUCCCAGAAAGUUAAAGUGGCACGGGGGUGGGGGGUGCUCUCUUGCUCUCUGGUGUCCUCCACCCUGGCUGUGAGAUCAUAGUGGCUAUGGACUGUUCGGUUGUCUCACCCAGACCUCUGAGGAAGGUGGGAUGGGCUUGUGUCCCACAUUUUCAGUGUUUCGCCGGCAGUCGGUUUGCUAACUGGUACUUACUCUGUUUGUAGCUUUCUUUUCUCUUUAAAGUUUUAUUCUUUACAUUUUGUCUUUGGUGUCUCUUCCAUAGAUCGUACCUUGAUCACAGUUUCCCCUCCCUCUACUCUUCCCAACUCUCCUAUUCCACAUCCACUUCUCUGUUUCCCCUCAGAGAAGAGCAGGCUUCCCAGAGCUAUCUACAAAACACGGCUUAACAAGUUACCAUAAGACUGGGCCCAAACCUUCACAUCAGGACUGGCUGAGGCUACCCAGUAGGAGGAAAAGGGUCCCAGGUGCAGGCAGAAGACUUGGAAAUACCCCCACUUCCAUUGUUGGGAGUCCCAUAAAACAAGUCACACAAUCAUAGAUAUAUGAAGAGGACCCAGCUUAGACCCAUAUAGGGUCUAUGUUUGCUGCUUUAGUGUUUGUGAUCCCCUAUGAGGCCUCUUUAGUUGAUUCUGUGGGCUGUGUUCUUGUGGUGUCCUCAACCCCUUUGAUUCCUAUAGUCUUCCUUCCCUUCUUUGGUGGGGUUCCCCUGCCUCCGCCUAGUGUUUGGGUAUCUCUGCAUCUGUUCUCAUCAGCUUCUGGAUAAUGCCCCUCUGAUGACAAUUGGGCUAGGCACCAAUUUAUGAGCAUCGCAGAUAAUUAUUAGGAAUGAUUUCAAAGAUCCAUCCAUCCAUCCAUCCAUCCAUCCAUCCAUCCAUCCAUCCAUCCAUCCAUCUACCAACCAGUCAUGUUUGGUUCUAUCCUAAGUCUCUGUGCUAUCCAGCUUCUGGUUCCUGCUCAUCCUGUGGUGUCAGGCUCCCUCUUGUAGUGUGGGCCUCAAGUUGGACCAGUCCUAGGUUGGCCAUUCCCCCAGGUUCCGCAACACCAUAACCCCAGCAUAUCAUGCAGGCAGGACAGAGUGUAGGUCGAAGGUUUUGUGAUUGGGUGAGUGUGUCCCCCAAGUCCCACUGCUUGGAGCCUUGCCUGGUUAUAGAAGAUGGCCAGUUUGGGUACAGCACCCCCCCCCCCAUUACUAGGAGAAUUUGCGAGGGUCACUCUCGUAGAUUCCAGGGAGUUUCCACUGCCACUGCACUAGUAUUCUAUAUCACAUCCCCCACCCCCACCCCACGCCCCCCAAUUCCAGUUGUCUGUCUCUCCCAGUGCUCUCACCCUCUGUCCUUCCCAUCCUCUGCUUGGUCCUUCCUGUUCCUAUCCUCACCCAUCUCCAGUCCACACACAAAAUCUAUUUCCCCUUGCCAGGGAGAUCAAUGUGUACCCACCCCGCUUGAGCCCUCCUGGUUACUUAGCUUCUCUGGGUCUGUGGAUUGUUAGUUCUCAACCCUAGACAUUGAGUUUGCUAUGUACAUUCUUAAAGUUGGAACAUGUUUUUCUUUUUGCUGUGAUAUCAGAAUUUUAUUUUCCAGUCUGCACCAUGGAAACCUUUGGUCUCCUGUUUUGUUUAUUUUCCCCCUUCCAUUGUGCUGAACUUUGUUUCCCAGAGCCAGAUACCACUCUGUCUUCUGACCUCUCUAUUGGGAUGAAGGGAGUUAAGCGCCUGAACCAUUUGAAAGUGUUGGUAUUUAUUAGUAGGGAGAUACCAAAGCCUGGUUUUGCCACAUUAAACCCACGUUGUGCUGGGAAAAGAGUGGAGCAGCACGCCCUCUGCUGGCUUAGCUCAGAAUGCUGCUGCUUACGUACACUUCUAAGGAAGAAAUCAUUUUGCCCAAACCUAGGGAUUUGGCUUCUUCCAAAUCCAAAGGUGCCAUUGUUCUUCAUAUAGACCUCUGGGCUCUAAGUUUUGUCAGUAAAUAGGCAUGUUGUUUAAAAAAAGAAUUCAAGUGUUUCUACUAGGCUGCUCUACCUAUGUCAGGUUCUAAAGAAGCUGGUAAGGUAGCCCAAGGCACAGGGUGUGCCUCCCCCCCCCCCCCCCACACCGAGUCGACCACUUCAGUCACGAAGUAUAAGCUCAGGAUAUCUGCCUUUGAAUUCAGACUGUUUGUCUUGCAUUAGAGUUUUCCUAUGGGACAAUCGGGUGUUUGGCUAAUUGAUUUCUAAGGGCCUUUCCAGCUAUCUGUUACAGGCAAUACCAUCCUGCCUCUCAGGGGCUGGGGAUGCAGCAUCUUUAUUUGAGCUACUGGAGCCCAUGUGGUAAAUGCAGGCAUCCAGGAUUGGCCGACAUAGCAAGUUGCCAGACAUGACAGCCAAUUUGCUGCCUUUGUAAAACUAGGACCUGGUGACUGGGUUUGCUCAGAAAUGCAUAGCGCGCAUGCGCACACACACAAGACCUUCUAGGCUACAGUUCCCCUAAAUUUGCCUUGGUCAAAGUCAUCUGGGCAUCCAGUGUCGUGUAUGUUCUGUUCUGUAUUGCUUGCUAUGCAGUCCAGAAGCCAUUAAUAAUCUUGGCUCCUUCUCAGGACAGCCUGCUAGAUACUUCUGCCACUGUGACUGCCACAGUCGGAGCCAGUGACUCUGCCUCUUGAACAGAAAGAUGAGCUGUGGUGUCUGUCUGUAUGUGCAGCUCGUCUCUCCCCUACCCUCUCUUUUACAGCCAAGUUUCUUGAAAACAGUGCCUACAUCUAUGGCUUCCCUUCCCUAGGGCUCCCUUCCCAUGCUAUGCUACAACUGUUUGGCUCUCUGUAUUGUGUGCACUCUGGAAACCAGCCUCAACCUGCAUGUGACCAAGGCCUGAGGCCAGUUGGUAGCUCUGCCCUCCCCAAUCCUCCUGGUCUCUACACAACGCUGUUUUCGUUAUUUAGGUGAGCGCUAAAGAUUCUUCUGCCUUUGUUGUUCCUUUGGGCCCUGUCCCAGAUACCUUUUUACUUUAUGUUCUAUGGAACUUGACACAGAAGGCCAUGGUGGGGGCCGGGGGAGGGGGUUGGGAGGGAGUGUUUGUAUGGACUGGUUUAAAUUUCCCUGGUGGAGGGUGGAGGUGAUGCAGUCUCCUUGCCCUUAGGAAUUUCCAGGAGGUGGGGCAGGGAGGAAGGAAGGGAUUACACAACACCAGUUUAUGUAAUGUUGAGGCAGCAUUGAGUCCAUAUUAGAGCCAGUGGUGAGACCUGCACCUUUGUUGAGAGCUUGUCCCAGAAGCUGCCAAGUAUCCUGGAUCUGUGAUGGGGUGAGCAUUUUACUGCAACAAGGAGAGACCCAGCUGGCUCCCAGCUCUAGCAGGAGCUAGGGAAGGCUGUCAGUGAGGGCAGGUGGUGGAGCUCUUUGGGAGGAACUCUCAUAGAGAGGGCUUGUGGGGGGUGGGAUCAGAACACUUCACCAAGAGAAUCAGCUGCGUGCAUCCAAGGAUCUGCCUUAGCAUCGAGACCUGGGGAACUUGGUUGGCCAUUCAUGCCCUGGGGGACCUGGCAUCCCUCACCAGACCCCAGAGGAGGAGAGAAGAGUUGGAAGGGAGCAGAUGUUCAUUUCUAGAAGUUCAUCCAAAAGAUCUCACUAACUGGGGUGAGAGCUGUCAUCAAGUACAAUAUCAUGUUCACAUGUUCCCUGCCCCAUUUCUCAAGGAGUGGUGGACUCAAAAAUAUGUUCAAGUAGCUACAGGGGAUAAAACCCCAUGUUUUCCUCGUCCCUCUGAUGAUACAUUUUCUCAGGAACCUGCAGACACUGUUGAGGAUGUGUAAUAGAGACAUAAAAGAAUAAAAUCCGGUCAGCUGUAAUAGCAAGUGGGCCCCGAGUAACUGAAUGCUGGGAAAAGAGCUUGAGGUAAAGUGGGAAGAGUCACUGUGGGAGAGGUAUGCGGGUCGAUGAACUAAAACUAAAACCCUGCCGAUGUCGACAACGCUGGGGCUGGACAACAAGAUCAACUGUUCUCUACAUUUUGACCAGUUGCGGCUUUCUGAAAUGGGGGUCUGUCUGUUCUAGAUGAUUAACAGCCGCCUGUGGGAGGGAGGAGUCCCUCAGGGAUAAACCCCUAAUUGGUUGCUAAACACCAAGUGGUUAGCCCUAAAAACAUAUACAUACAAACAACAUUAAAUGGACUCAGCAGGUUGAAUUUACAUAUUAAUUUAUAUAUAUGUAAAAUAACAAUAUUCCAAAAGAAGUAAUGCAUUUGAGAAGGAGCAGGGAACAUGGGAAGGGUUGGAAUGAGAAGGGGGGGAUGAUGUAAUUAUAUUUUAAUUAAAAAUAAACUUAAAAAAAGCCUUUCACUUUGCUGUUAUUAAAAUGGAAUAAUAGCCAAGUCCAUUUUAUUGCAGUAUAUAUGAUAGAGAGUGGAGUAAUAUUUUCAUUUUCCCUCCAUGUGGCUACAUCUGCUUUACAUUUUCCCUCUCACCAGAAGUGUUUUUCUUUGGGAACCACACAUAAAAAGUCCAGUGGUGACCCUUGAAAAAAAAGAUCUCUCUUUAAAGAAAAAAAAAAAAAAGAAGCGGGACAGAUUGAUCGUUUACUUUUGCCCCCCAAAGUCUUAUGCAUUUUAAGUUUUAAAGCAAGAUUUUUUUUGAGUGGGGGAUUCAUUAUGACCUCACCAUGUCAAACGAUUUGCCAGCUCAGAAGCCCAAGCUGCUUCUCAGCACCAAAUCCCUUAGAAGUUUCCUCCCAGCCUGUGUGCUUCAAGACACGUCUGUCUUCUGCAGAAGAUUUGUAAGGAAAUGUGUUCAGGUCCCAUGGCUGUGAAAAAAAGGAGAGCUUUGUAUCUGCUUGGAGGUGGGGGUGGAGACGAGAGUAGAGUUAGAGGGGAGGCAUGUUGACUCCCACCCACUGUCAAAUCCACAGCCCCUCCCAUUUCCCAUCUUUGGUUUUGGUGACCUUUUGCUCCACAUUUUAAACUCUAUCACACAUCUGCCAUGACACAACACACCCCGUGUACUUGGUGGGUGUUUAAAACAAUGUCAAAAUGUCUCACGUGCCAGGAAGGUUGAGACCAGCUGGCCAGUGGCCAGAGCCCUUGCUAACUGUGUUGUUACUCCCUCGCUGAUGGGGGUCGUUGGAAUUGCUGGUAUGCCCCAGUUUUGAGAGAAUGGGUAAUCCAAGAAAGCACGGCUAUAGGUGACAAUGUCUGUUGUCCGACCCCGCGUCUGUUGAAGAAUCCCACUGGGUCUGAAUACCAGCAACUCAGGAAAAUUGGGGUCAUCUUUGAGACUGGUACCCUAACUCACCUUUCAGCCCCUAGUGCUUUCCAUGGGUACAAUGGAAUAUUUUUUUAACCCAACCUCCCCCUCCUUCAUGAGUUUCAUCUCACAAAAAUCCUCACCCAGGCAACUCCAGGGUGACAUCGAGUGAUUAGGCUGCUGGGGUCAAGUUCUUCACGUCGGAGUGUUUGUGCAGGACAGGCAGAAGGUAACUGCCGCAGGCCCUCUCUGUCCACACCCAGAUAGUUGUUCCAAAGCCUGCACAGGACACGUUUUUAAAAUGCACCCGGAAGAAGACUUCUCUUCUGGUUCACCGGAAGCAGCUCUCUACUUGCUUGCCCAUUGUCUCUAUCUUUGCAUGAUUCUCAUUGGUGGUUUGCACCUUGUCUUGUGAUUUUCCAGGUAUCUUGCCGGAAGAUGUCUGAAAGUUCAGAGACCAUUUUUCAUUUGGUAUCCUCUCUGUCGCUUGUAGUCCAAGGAGCUGGGGGUGGGGUGGGGUGGGCCGGGGCUGGAGGCUGAUUCAGCCUUGUGAAUCUCCUGCUUAAAUGGGCAAGUUCUGUAGGACAGAUGUCAUGUUUACAAGGUCUUCAGAAUAAGCCUCUCUUCCUUCACUCCAGACAGCUGCUAAGCCUGGAAGAGGGCAGUGUCUUUGUAACCCGAGGGAGCUUCCUGCUGUUUGCCUCCAGGCGGUUCUCAGAGAUGCUGGCAGAAGGGUGUGGGGGUGGGGACGGAGGUGGCUGUUUGUAAAUGCAGUCGGGGAGGCUUCAGAGUGGGCUCCCGGAAAGAUCUCUAAGGUCUCUGCUCAAGAACCAUUUCUGCAGUUUCCUUUGCAAACUUGGAAAGGCCGGAGAUUUUACAAACAUAACAGUCUCAGACCUCCACACAGCUUUUCCUUCAGCGUGUCUCUGCCCCACCAGCUAGAUGUGUUAGUGGUUCAAACUCCAGCUGCUUACCUUAGUAUAUUAGUGAUUUCUUGGGGGACAUGACGAUGUGGUUAGGCUUUCUGCCUCUACACAGUUUCUUAAAUAGUCUCUCUUCAGCUCCCAUGUGUCCUUACUGGCGACUUUUCAAACAUCACCAAAGCUUUGCAACCACCCCAAAGCCCGUGAGCUACAGCCCCCCACGUCUGCCUUGGCAUCUGCCUGCUGUUCGAUCAGUAGGGUGUAGGUGUGGUCAGCUUUCUGUCACUGGGAUAAAAAUCCCAGAGAUAGGAUGAUGAAAUUUAUGAGGCGGAAAGAUUUAUUUUGGCUCAGAGUUUCAGAAGCUUCAGUCUGUGGCUGCCUGGCCCCGUCGUUUGUGGGCCUGUGGCAAUGCAGAAAACGUCAGGGCAAGUUGCUUGUGGCAGAGAUUAGCUGUGGACCUACCUUAUAUGGGCGAGAGGUAGGAGGGAGGGUUAGGUCUAAGUUCCUCUAUCCCCUUCAGUUGCAUGCACCUCCGUGAGAUGACUUUUUUUCACUCGGCGGCACCUGCAACCUACAAGUUUCCCAAAAGUGUAACUAACACGUUGUUGACUAAGUCAUCCCUUCAGCACAUGGAGACUCAAGAUCUACAUCAGAGUGCCCACUUUAGGCUUUUUUUUUCUUGGCAGUAGCAUCCCACUUGUGAGACUUAUUUCUUAUUUUGACAACAGUUACCUAGAGUUCGGUGCUCCCCCAUGAGAAGAGUCGCUUAUUGUCGUUAGUGCCCUUGGUGUGCCUGGAAUUAAAGACUUGUGGACUGUGUGGUGCUGUCUGUUUGUGAACACUUCCUGAAGUUUAAGGCAUCAGCUGAGGCAGCGAUGGGAACAUCUGUGUGGGACACCCACAUCCAUUUUCCAGAUCAUCUGGAAACUGGUCCUAGCUGUCCCAGGAACCCUUAGCUCCUUGAUUCCUGGGUCUCUCCACAGGGCUGCUGCUCAGAGCGCCUCACAGCCCAGCAGAGGUGAUUUGAUUUGUAUGACCUGAACUUGACCUGGAAACCACACACUGUCAUUUCUGGCCCUUAGUGAAGGACAGGGUGGCACCGUGACACAAAUGGCAGAGCACAGGAACACUUGGGCUGUAUUGUGUGUGUGUGCACACACACAUCAGGGAAGGAGAGAAGGAAAACAUAGUCUCAGACACAUGUGGAAAUAGAGAAUUGCCCAAAACCUCAAGUGUUUAAGCCUUUGCCCCCUGUUCAUUCCUGAAAUGGGUAGGAACUGAAUUUUGUGGUUACACUUGGUCAGCCUUUGCUAUGUUUUUUGUUUGUUUGUUUGUUUUGAGGGUUAAUAUUCAAAAUAUUUAACAACUGGUGUGACAUGGGCACAGAUGUAGCAAUUGAGACAAGGCCACCAGAAGUAUCAUAUUACACUUGGGCUUGUGCUUGUGACAAUAUACUGCUUAGUUUUUGAGGGCGAAAGUUUUUUCAUGAAUAGUCUUAGAGAAGUCACACUUAUGCCAGUGGCCACUGCUCAUUGUUCCUGCUCUGUAUGUUCUCUGACAAUAAUUUGCUUAGAAAUCCUUCUGGCAAUGGCCCACAGGAUGAAGGAUAUCCUUCCCUUCCCUUCCCUUCCCUUCCCUUCCCUUCCCUUCCCUUCCCUUCCCUUCCCUUCCCUUCCCUUCCCUUCCCUUCCCUUUCCUUUCUUUUUUUCUUUUUUUUGCUAUUAAAAAUGUUGCUGGGAAAUUACACAUGCCUUUUUCUUAGUGGGGUUGUGCAAGAAAUACAAGGGCAGAACAGUUCUUGAAUACCAGAGCAUGCAGGUUUUCAAUUUUAGAAAGAAAUGCAAAUUCUUUUUUCAGAUAGACACAAACUUAGAUCCCCUACUGUGUAAAAUAAUUUUCAUGGCUGAAUGUCAAUUUAAUUUUUCCUUAGUAGAUUUGCCACAGCAUCUUGUGUUUUCUUUUAAUUUUUAAUUCUUGAAUUUUUAGUGAGGAUGAUCAUUUUGAUAAAUUUGGUUUUGCUCUAUCUUUCUUCCUUUUUUGAAUGCCCGUUUGCGUCUUUGAUCUAUUUUUCCAUUGUUAUUUCUUCUCCCCUCCUGACCUACAGUCUGCUGUGCAUGUUAUUUUAUGGGCCUAGAUAACUCUCAAAACCAAACUCAGAUGAUUCCAUGGCAACUUCAAAGCCUACUACGAGAGUGACAAGAUUUACCAUUACAGCCAUUCCCCCUCCCACCCUUACUUGUUCCAACAACAUCUAAUGGUUAAUUGGGUGUUUAUUUACAUUUAAUGUGAUGAUGUUAGUCUUUUUGUCUAAUCUAGACAAGAGUUCCUCUUCCGAUUUUUGGUCUUUGUUAAUUUAGCUGAGGAUUUAAAACAGAAACAAAGACCUUCAACCUUCAGGCUUGUGUGAUCAGCAUUAUUUUGGCUAGUGCUUACGGUUUAUCUUAUACUAGUCUACCGUCAAACAACACGGAACCUUCAUGCAUUCGGCAGCAACCCUUGCAGACCUCUUGUCUCCCACUCCAUCCGGUAGAGCGCUAACCACAAAUGUGACGGGAAGUAACUUGGGAUCCAUGAGCUCAUGGUGGUGGAACUAUCAGGAUGGGGUUAGUGUCCUUACAAGACGCCAGAGAGCUUGCUGACUCUCUUACUCUGCAACAUAACUUCCUGGAGAGGUCACAGGCUCUUCAUACAGAGAGGAGUUGGCUGCCUGCAGGCCAGCAAGGGGCCCGCAGCAGGAUCCAGACCUCUAAUAUUCUGAUUAUGGAUUUCUAGCCUCCAGAAAUUUAAGAAAAAUAAGUCUCUGCUGUUGAAAUUCAGCCUGCCUAUACUUGUCUAUACUCGUUGACUCUGGUUUGUGAGCGGAUGAUGCAGACAACUGCAUCCUGAUACUUUUUUUUUUUUUUUUUGUCUUCAGUUUUUUUCUGCCAUCAUGGUAGAUUCGAUGAUUAGGGAUGCUCUAAGUUUUACAGUGAGUCCUAUUUCUGCUUUGAACACUCAGUUAUUUUCCAGGGAGCUGACAAACCUGGGAAAUCAUGUCACAUGAAGCUAGAGGCUUUGCAAUUUAUUUCUGGUCUUCGUUGCUUCAGUGUAGAGCCAGGUUCCUACAACUGUGCCAUUGCCCUUCUGACUAGAGGAAUUUACCUUGUCUAUCAGAUUGCUCUGGUGAUCAAUUCCUUCGGCUUUGUUUUUUACAUUUUAUUUUUUCUUGGAUAUUUUAUGUAUUUACAUUUCAAAUGUUAUCCCCGUUCCCCCUUCUCCCCCUGCUCCUGUGAGGACGCUCCCACGACCACCUACCCACUCCCACCUCAACUCCCUGACAUUCCCCUACCCUGGGGAAACGAGCCUUCACAGAACCAAGGGCUUUCCCUCCUAUUGAUGCUGGACGACGCCAUCCUCUGCCACAUAUGUGGCUGGAGCCAUGGGUCCCUCCAUGUGUACUCAUUGGUUGGUGGUUUAGUCCCUGGGAGCUCUUGGGGGGAGGGUCUGGUUGGUUGAUAUUGUUGUUCUUCCUAUGGGGUUGCAAAUCCCUUCAGCUCCUUCAGUCUUUUCUCUAACUCCUCCAUUGGGGUCCCCAAGCUCAGUCCUACAGUUAGCUGCAAGCAUCCUCAUCUGUAUCAGUAAGGCUCUGGCAGAGCCUCCCAGGAGACACCCAUAUCAGGCUCCUGUGAGCAUGCCCUUCCUGGCAUCAGCAAUAGUGACUGGGAUUGGUGUCUGCAUAUGGGAUGGAUCCCCAGGUGGGGCCAUCUCUGGAAGACCUUUCCUUCAGUCCCUGCUUCACUCAUUGUACCUCUUUCAGCAUUUUUUUUUUUUUUUGUUUCUUUAAGCUGUUGUAUGACUUAAAACCUCUCCACUUUGCCUUUGGUUUUGAAAGAUACUUGCUGUGGAGGGAGCAAGGUAGACUGUAUCUUUGCCCUCUGCCUGAAUGUAACUGUUCUGCAGGCUUUCCUAGCGAGCUGCUGGGAACUUAUGUUUUUAUGAGUCUGGCUCCUUUUAGAGCAGUCUGUUACUGGCUUUGAGACAUUUGAGGGUGCUGUGGUGAUGAAGAGGUCAGUCGAGCUUCUUAGCUCUGUGAGUUGAGUGGUUUUCAUGAAAAUUGGAAAACAUUUUGGCCAUCAUUUCCUCAUUGUGUGUGUGUGUGUGUGUGUGUGUGUGUGUGUGUGUGUGUGUGUGUGAGAGAGAGAGAGAGAGAGAGAGAGAGAGAGAGAGAGAGAAACUUAUUGGGACUUUGCUUAGCUUUUUUUGUCUUUUUUGUGUCUUUGUGUCCUUCUGUUAUUUAUCAAAGCCCACUGAUGUCGUUUGUGGCAAUGGCUCGCUGGUGGUCUAUAUGUUUUAGUUGAAAAUGUGCUUGGUGAUUAUAGAACCACGUGAUGUUGUGAAUCAUGGCUGAUUAUCCCCAUACUUUGUUCAUUGCUCAACGAUGGCAACAUCUUAAUAGAUGACAGUCUAGAACCCCAAAUGACACGGACAGAGACACAACUCCUACCUAGUGGUCUUCAGAGUUCUCCCCACCCCCUGACCCCCGUCAGGGGGCUGCUUGUGUUCCAUUUUUAUCUUUCCUCUAUGGCUUCAGAUUUCCCAAGCCCAAGCCCUAGAAACCACUCUUCUGGGAUUCUGUCAUUUCAGGGUGUUUUGUUCAUGCAGCCGACACAUUCACGCCAUGGUACUUGGAGACUAGCCAUUGCACUCAGCGUAACUGCCUGGAAAGUCUCCUUGGCUAGCUGCAACUCCGAGUUCUUUUUGUUUUCUUUUGAGAGAGGGUCUCAUGUAGCCCAGGCUGACCUCCAUCUUGCUAUGUAGCUGAGGCUGACCUUGAGCUUCCCAUCCUCCUGCCUCUACCUACCAAGUGCUGAGAUUGCUGGCAUGUACCACCAGGCCUUGUUUCUGUGGUACUGUUUUUUUUUUUUUUUUUAAAAACAUGAUGCCCAAACACUUUACCAACUGAGCUACAUCCCCACCUCCUAUCGAGGAUGCUUUAACCUCAGGCGCUAUAAAUUUUCAGCUAUAGAAAAAAAUUCCAUAUGAACCUUUUGAAAAUAUUUUUUGUGUUUUCUUUUUUCAGUAUCCAUUUUCAAUCCUUGUCAAAUACUGACUGACUUUAUAAUUAAAAGUCCGAAUUACUGGUAAUAAGAGGAACCGAAGCUAAGGAGAAAGAAUGGUUUACUCCGAUGCUGGCAUGGGUUAGAGAAGUAUCCGGUGCUAAGAGCUGGUGCGGGAGGGACAUGGGGGUAGUGGCUGGAGAGGAGACGCUGACUGGGUUGUAACGGAAGCAACGUGGCAGUGCUGCUUCUGACUCAAAGAGCUUUCAACUGUUCAUUCUGUGGCAGGAGGUGUGUUGGGACAGUUUCCUGAAGCGCUGUUGUAGGAGUCGGGGUUGAGGCCAGCUUGGUACCUGCUUGGCCUACUGGGUGAGUGUCAUGAAUGGCUGAGCCACCGUGGUGUCCUUGUGAAUUCCUUAGAUGGGGGUUAGAGGGAUGCAUAAUAUGGAUAUAAAAGCAUUAGAACUCAGGGGAAAAAUGGGGGGGAUGGGACCCAUCACAUAAUAUCCCUGAAGAAUAUGUCGGAGGAUAAAAAACACAUCAAAGGGACUCGCAGUUACUUGUCAAAGAAUUUGUUGACUUGGUCCACUGAUGCCCCUGACCUGGAACCUAAGACCCAGAAAUCUAACUGGAUGGAUAGCAAGUCUUAGCGGGAGGGAGUCUGUGGGUAACCGAAUCUCCUGGGUCAGAAGGAUAUAAGGUGGGUGCUCUGAAGUGAUGUAGCCUUAGGAGUUUUUACCGUGGCCAUCCACACUCUGUUCAGGUGCCGAGGACAUGUUGAUUUUCUUCCCCUUUUCUGCCCCUGAUAGUUUCCCUUUCUCCACGUUGCCUGCUCUGUCUUCCUGGCUUGUCAUUGAGGUGGACAAAUUGUGCUUGACUCUCCCUUCAGAGAGUCAAGCACAAUUCCUACCUAAUCCUCUGAGCAACAGAGCAAAAGCAAUGGCACCCUGCAGAGCUCCCUCCCUGGUUUAUUUCGCUUCUAUGAAGCAUCUCUUAGAGCAAUUUUAUCAAAGAAAAAAAAAGUAUACGGGGCAGUGCACUGAGGCUCUCAGAGCUGAUUUCGUGCAUAUUCUGGAGUAUUCUAAGGUGAAGUGGUAAGCAUUUUGGACACAUUGCCCCACUCACCGACUUCCAGCAGUCCGCACUGUUGAAAGGGUUAUAUUUAGUGACCUUACUUAAAGAAAAUUAAAAAAUGAAAACUGUGAGCUUUGGAAGAAUCUUAGGCUUACAUGCAUAUUUGAAAGAAGAGUUUCUAUACAUCCUUCGUUCGUUUGUCCCAAGCGCUAACGUUUUACAUUCGUGUUGGGCAUUUCCCAAGUUUAGGUUCUGACCUGAGUAUCUUGCUGCUCACCCCAGGCUUUGUUUAGAUGCUACCAGGGUGUUCUGUUAAUGUCCCUUUUCUGUUUCAGUGUCCCACCCGUGGGCACCGGGUGGAGUUAUUUGUCAUAUCUUUUGUGACCCUGCAAACAUAGGCACUUUUUCAGUUUUUAUCUCUUUAAUGACCCUGUCAGUCUUGGAGAACAAAUAGUCCAGGCUUCCUGUAGUCUGCCCUCCACUCUUGGCUUUUGUUCAUAACCUGGACUCAGGUUAUGGGUAUUUCCAAAGGGAUGCAUGUAACAGGGAUGAAGUGUCAUAGUCCAAGACCAAGGACAUCCGUGUAUACCUUUUUGGCCGAAUAAGAUAUUUUCGUUUCUCCCGAGUCCUUCUCUAGAAAGGAAGAUUGCAGGUCCUACAGAAGUUGUGUUGUUCGUUAUGAAGAGCCACCCGUUAUGAGGAGCCACCAAGCUGUUCUCUCUGCUGUACUGCCACCAACAACGCAUACAGGUUCCAGUUUCUCUACAGCUUGCUUGAUGUUGUCACCUUCGUUGAAUGACAGCUGUCCCAGUGGGUGGCCGAGUACCAUGUUUUUGCUUUUGUCUCCUGUUGCUAAAGGCACUGAACAGCGGUUACUGUGACCAUUGGCCACUUGCAGAUCUUCUUAGCAGGUACAUUGUCACCCAGGCACUUUGGCUGUUUGAGAACUGGGCUGUUACUAAGUUGUAUGAAUUCUUUAAAAUAGCCUGGACGCAAGCACCUUGCGAGAGAAACGCUUGUUCCGUCUCGGUCCCUCGGUCGCAGCUUUACAUGUUAAGCUUGCAUUCUUGUGCACUGGUUGAAUUCAGGUUUUUUUUUUCUCUUCUCCUUUUUCCUACCAUGUGUGCUUUGGAUACUGUACCAGAAGUUGCUGAGUUUUGCUGCUGCGCUGGCUUCUAGGAGCUUCCUACAUCCAGGAGACCCGUUUAAGUGGGCUUUCGAAAAGGACCCAGUGUCCACUUGGCGUUGGCUUUUGCAUAUUGUGUGAAACUGGGACCCAGGUUCAUCUUUCCGUGUGCUUUCCUUGCACGUGGGUGCCGCUCCUGGGCGGUUCAACCUCAGCCUCUUAAACACUGCCCCCGUGAAAGCUCUAGAUUUUCCUGACUGUGCGCUCUGCUCUGGCCGGCUUGGCAGGCACCUAGGACAGACGGGAGGCUAUUUGGACAUUCCUGUUGGGGUUUGUCUUCCUCAUGUACUUCCUUCCCCACUUGUAUGCAGUGUUAAUCUUCAUUUUCCAGUAUUUGGAGCCGGCGAUGCCGUGGCUUUCUGCUUGAGGUUUAGUUUCUUUGUGCUGCGUAGGCCCUCGCGCACACCGGCAGCGAAUCGUGUCGAUGUAGCUCUUACCUCACAUGUCUGGCUUCUUUCAGGGAUCAAGUCAUCUCUAUUUUUUGCCUCCUUUUUGGGGGUGUUUAUUCUAUAUUUUCCUUCAGAACAUUUUAUUUUUCAUUUUAAAAGAAUAUAAAGGCUAUAAUCUCAGCUCCUGGGCUGGUAAAAAAAACAAAAACAAAAACAAAAACAAAACAAAAAGAGAAAAAAACAAACCACUACUAGCCUCAGAGAGACACUGUCACCUUUCAUAGGAUUUUAUUUCGCGAUGAUAAUUUUCUCAGUAUUGUUUUUUGGGGAAAUUGUCUCAAACUUCCAUUCGUGUUUCAGUGCGCUCAUAAUAACUCUCUUCGUUGAAAUGCUACUAUAGAGUUGUAAACGUCUCUGUUCAGGGCGAACGCGUCUGGCUGCCACCUCACUGCCACCUGCUCGUGUGUCCUCUGUCUUAGUCUGAAAGUCUGAAAUGAACUUUUAUGUUCCUGGGCCAGCUGGACAGUAUUCAUCCUUAGCCUUGGGAUUUCUGUCAUGUUUCAAUGCCCUGGUCACCGAUGAUUUUGACUUGCUUCCUCUGUUGUACAAAGAACAGCCUGUUCCACAGUUCUGUGGUAAUUGGUCCAGAGUAGGAAAAAUAUCUGAGGUCUUACAAAGAUUCUCAGAGGAUGUCUUUCCUUCCUUUGGACUGAUAGUCUGGGCAGCCAGAAAGAUUAAAUGAUUUGGGACCAUAGUCCCGAGUAUUUUGUGUUGUCACUUUGUCUUGUAGAAACUGGUGGGUUUUUUUAUUUUGUUUUGUUUAGGACCUUGAUAAGUGAUUAUUCUUGAUUAUUUUUUCCCCUGGGGUGGGGUGGGGGACUUCAGAUUUGUGUGAAAUUUCGAAAGCCUGUGAUUUCUAGUUGUUUAUUUUUUCUCUCUGUAUCAUGUAGCCAUUUUCCCAUGUCCUCUCACUGUUCCUGGCAGGGUCCCUGCCGCUUGGCAAUUUUUUUUUUUUCUGUCAGUUUGGUGGUGCUAAUUUCUUUUUCUUUUUCUCUCACAGCCUGUCGAUUUCAUUCGAGCAAUUUGCUCUUGUGCUGUAUCGGCGUAGCGCUUUGCGGCCCUGGGACCCUUCGGCAGCUUUCUCUGGAGCGGGGGCAGACGGUUCUAGGUCUCUGCGGUUUACUAUGCGCAGGGUGCUGCCCUGAAGAAGUUCUUCCUUGUUUAGUUCUGCUUUCUUAUCCGGCAUGUAAUAAACAGACAUUGCUGGCUUUUCUUGUAUGAAGGAUGGUUUUGCUUGUUGUUCUCGGCAAGCAUUAUCUAGCGCCCUGGUUAGACCUGUCUGUCGCUCAGUGCUACUUUCUCUGGAUUUGUAUCGCCAGGGCUCGUCCUCACCUUCUUUCAGGUGGUUUGUUGUUCUGUACUUGUGGCUGGCUGUUUCAUGUCUCUGGUUGAUUGUUCUGCUGCCAGUGUCUUGUGUACGAGAAAAACUUCUAUUUCCCCUUUCUUGCCAUGUCUUUGGCUGUCUGGGUAUUAGGUAAUGAUGGAUUCCCACUUUGAGUUCAAAAGGAGUCCCCUUUGCUACUAUUUGCUGAAGGAAUUAUGGAAAAUUGGUGUCAUGGCCUCCUUAAAUUUUUGGAAGAUUUCACCAGUGGGUAUGCAUGCUUUCUGUUUUACAGGGCCUAUUAGUUGUUGAUUUCUGCUUCUUUAAUUGACAAGGGACCUGUUUUUUUUUUUAAUUCAUAAAUAUCUCUAGAUUGUGCUUUUCAAGGAAUUGGUCUAUUUCUCUUGGGCAUAGACUUGUUCAGUCCUUCAUCCAACCCUGUUUUCUCUUUGUAGUGCUGGAGAUGGAAUCCAGGGGAGCAUCACACACGAAAAUUGAGCGCUCCGUCUCUGAGCUAUAAUUCUAGUCCUUCAUUAUCCUCGUGAUGCUCAUGGAGUCAGUACUGAUGUCUUCCUUUUUCAUUUCUGAUAUCAGCGAUUCGUGUCUUAAGAUAGCCUGUGAGAGGCUUAAGUUAGCUUGCGAGAGGCUCGUCAGUUUCAUCGAUUUCUUUAACAAACCCAACGUCUUUUGUGUGUGGUUGUCUCUCUCGGGCACUGGUUUGUGAUAUCCGGCUUCGUUAACUUCUGCUCUCACUUGGUUUUCCUUUGAUGGCUUUGGAAGAAGGAAACAAGUGAUCUUUGUUGUUUGCAAGAUAUACAUUGAAUGUAUGCGUGGCUCCACUAUAGCCUGUAAUUUAAUAGAUUGUGUUUUUUAGUUUGUUGAAAACAUAGAGCUCCCUUUUGGGAUUUUCUUUUUAACCCACGUGUUAUUGUGCUUAUUUCCAUGUGUAUGGUCCUGGGACUUGGAUCCAGAGCCUUACACAUGCUAGACAGGCAAUCUACCACUGAGCUGCAGCUCAGCCCUGUGCCAUGUAUUAUUCAGAUGUGAUAUACCUUUGGAUUUCCCAAAUGCAUUUGGAUUCUUGAUCAUUAUAUUAACUCUGUUGUCUGAGGACAGACAUAUGAUCUAUGACUUUGAACUUUGCCUAAGGUAGGUUUUAUAGUUCAGAAAGCGGCCUCGCUUGGUGACUGUCCCUUCUGAGUUUAAGAGCACUGUGCUCUCUGCUGAUGGAUAAAGAUUUCUGUAAAUGUCAGUUGGAUCCGGUUGAUUGAAAUUACCAUUUAAUUCCACUGAAUUCUGAUCUACUCCUGAUUAUUAUGUUCAGUUAGUAGUAGUGUGAAGACCAUUGAUGUCUCCCACUGUACGAAUAGGUUCAGACAUGCCUUCCGGUAAACCCGCUCUUUAUUUUUUUGAGACAGGGUCUUGCUAUGUAGCCCAGGCUAACCUGGAACUCACUAUGUAGCCUAGGCUGGCCAAAGAUCCUCCCCUCCCCCCAUCUUCCUGCAUGCUGGGAUUACAGGUGUGCACCAUAAUGCCCCAAACAGCUUCCUAUCGAUCUUAACCUUCUGUAUUCUGAUGUUUUCUCAUUAUACUGAUGGACACAAAAGACUGUCUUGUUGAACUUCAUCUUUUAUUACUAUAGAAUGCUCCACUUUGUCACUGACAACUUUCUUUGCUUUGAAGCCAGCUUUGAGGUUAAUUCAGCAACUCCAGCCCUCUCUUGAGUAGUGCAAUCGCCACAAAUCAGUUUUAGCUUUAACAUAUCCAUGCCCUUGUUAAAGGAGACUUUGUGAGUAUGUGUGUGUGUUUUGCUGAUACUAAGUCUUGGUCUCUGUGUCUCUGUCACUGUGUAUCUCUGUGUCUCUGUCUCUCUCUCUAGCAUUGGUUGAUAGAGAUUUCAGUAAUACCAACUAACUUCAGGAUCUGGACUCAGCUCUCCUCUGACUCCAGAUCUUACGACUUGUCUUUCCUGAGCCCUUGGAAGUAAGGGUUCUGUAAGGGAUGAUCCAGGUCAGGUUGAAUCACUGGAGCUUUACACACUGUUGUUGCUGCACUUUCUCUCUUGCUCCAAAAGUGCGCUGCUAAGGAGAGAUUUGGAAAUGCUUGUGGGGUCUAAUGUCAUAGAAUCACUGUGCUUUAUAGCGCCAAUAGAUUCAAACCAUUCUCCUAGACCCUUCUUGAGAUCCCUCUCUGUCGAGAGGAAAGGCAGUAUCUCAUUUGCAGCCUGCAGUAAGGCUGUCGUCCUAGCCAUACAUCGAUCCAGGUGUUGUUUAAUCAUCACGUAGGCGAGCAUUUGGGCAUAUGAUGCUACCAUAUGAAGGUCUUUACCAGGGGAUUUAAACUUAGUUGACAAGAGGCCAAGGAGCAGACUUACACCCCAAGGCUGUGAGUUGAGCCAGUGCACAGAGGCUCUGGGCUGAGACAUGCUAAGGUGAGUUGCAGAUUCCCCAUGACCGGAUUUCCCUAUCGUCACCACGAGAGUCUUGAAUCUGCCUUCAGUUUGCUUAGAGCCACUGUGAACCAUCUUUUCAGAUGACUCGAUAGCUAAUCCAAUCACUAGCGUUCGACCGUGGCCGAGCAUUGGAAAACAACUCGAGUGAAGUGACUGUGUGCUCCUUGAUCCCAUCCACACGGGAAGCACUGCAGUCUCACCAGCCAAGCUGUCUUUCGUCUGAACACUCCUGCAGCGGAUAACGCCUCCUGCAAGCCUGGAAUCAGAUAGCACACGAAGAGUAGGCUGGGCAUUUUCUAUUGCUGGAUGGGGUGCAGAGCCGUCUGGAACAUUACGAUACAGUGCUCUGGCUUGAAGAGUGAAGAUUUCCUUAUUUGAAUAAAGCUUGAUCCCACUGCA